CUACGGGCUGCAGCAGUGGGGAAUAUUGCACAAUGGAGGAAACUCUGAUGCAGCAACGCCGCGUGGAGGAUGACACUUUUCGGAGCGUAAACUCCUUUUAUAUAGGAAGAAGAUGACGGUACUAUAUGAAUAAGCGCCGGCUAACUCCGUGCCAGCAGCCGCGGUAAUACGGAGGGCGCAAGCGUUACUCGGAAUCACUGGGCGUAAAGAGCGUGUAGGCGGAUUAAAAAGUCAGAAGUGAAAUCCUAUAGCUUAACUAUAGAACUGCUUCUGAAACUCUUAAUCUAGAAUAUGGGAGAGGUAGAUGGAAUUGCUGGUGUAGGGGUAAAAUCCGUAGAGAUCAGAAGGAAUACCGAUUGCGAAGGCGAUCUACUAGAACAUUAUUGACGCUGAGACGCGAAAGCGUGGGGAGCAAACAGGAUUAGAUACCCCGGUAGUC
rnacentral:rRNA from 1 species